GCCGGGAUGGCGGAAUGGCAGACGCCGAUGCCUCAAAAGCAUCUGCCCUCCGGGGCGUGCGGGUUCGAAUCCCGCUCCCGGCA
rnacentral:tRNA from 1 species